rnacentral:lncRNA from 1 species
AUACGUUACCUCCGUGAAGCCCAUCUCCGCCCUCCAAUCUCUGCCACUGUGUUUUUAUUCAUGAAUUGAUUACGUUGGAUAAAAAAACUCAUUAGUUUUGCAUAAAAUCUGCAACAUUAACCAGCAAUCUUGCAUAAAAAAUUCUGCAUUAUUUCUUGAAUUGAAGAUGUAUUCAUAUCCACAAUAUCCCAUUGAUCUUGAAGGGAUCACAACCACUAUACUUUGGUUUUUAAAUAACAAUAACAACUGAGCCCUAAAUUGAAAAAAGGGGAAGAUGCACAGAGACAAGAGAAGCCAAAUCCACAAAGGAAUUCAAAUAGUGAUGUAGUGGCAGUCUUAACAAGCAAUGGAAUUUGUUUCUUGUUGANNNNNNNNNNNNNNNNNNNNNNNAAUAAAAAAUCAUGUCGGCGGUAACGAGCCUUGUUGAGACAUCGUGUGGAGGUAACAUAUGCAGUGGUGAUACGGCGGAGAGACAGCGCCGGGACGACAGCGAGAUUACACGAUAGUGGAGGAGACGACAAGAGAUGGUUGAUAGUAUUUCCUCUUUAUGUGGAGAGAGAAAGAAUGAGUAAUCACUAUCAAUUAUAGAAAAUGAAAUUAAUCGCAUGAGAGAAUUUGUAGUGAAUGAAAAUGAGGAAACUUCUCAUAGCCACCUAUUGUUGGAAUGCUCUGGCUAUAAAUUCAUUUUCAUGUUUUCAUUUCUAUCAUCAGUGUGUGAAGAAAUCCUUUUGAGAGCAAAUCCAAAAGAGAGGUUUUUUUUUUUUUUUGAAAACUCCAAAAGAGAGGUUAUCCACCAUAUUUGUUGGUGAGAAUUGUAAUAAUCAAUUUGUAUUAUUAUUCAAUUAAACAGAAGAAAUUCUUGUUAUUCCAUUGUUAUUGUUAUUAUUAUUAUAGUGGGAAAAGUUUGAUCAGGGAUAAUCAAUCAUCUGCCGACCUUGUAUUAGGUGUGUUUUGUGUUAUCUUUCCCAACAAGUGGUAUCAGAGCUUCGGCUCAUCACCACACAUUUUAACUUUUAUUAUUACAAUGGACGAGUCAACCUCUGUGGGAUCAUCAACAAU